GCUGUAAUCCCUGGGGGACCACCAGUGGCGAAGGCGCUCCGCGAGAACGGGCCCGACGGUGAGGGACGAAAGCCAGGGGAGCGAACGGGAUUAGAUACCCCGGUAGUCCUGGCCGUAAACGCUGUCCGCUAGGUGUUGCACGCUCUACGGGGGCGUGCAGUGCCGAAGCGAAGGUGAUAAGCGGGCCGCCUGGGGAGUACGCUCGCAAGAGUGAAACUUAAAGGAAUUGGCGGGGGAGCACCACAAGGGGUGAAGUCUGCGGUUUAAUUGGAUUCAACGCCGGACAUCUCACCGGGGGCGACGGCAGGAUGAAGGCCAAGCUGAUGACUUUGCCAGACGAGCCGAGAGGUGGUGCAUGGCCGUCGUCAGCUCGUACUGUGGGGCGUCCUGUUAAGUCAGGCAACGAGCGAGACCCGUGCCCACCAGUUGCCAGCGCAUCCCUACGGGGAUGGCGGGCACUCUGGGGGGACCGCUGGCGCUAAGCCAGAGGAAGGUGCGGGCGACGGUAGGUCAGUAUGCCCCGAAUCCCCCGGGCUACACGCGGACUGCAAUGGCCGGGACAAUGGGCUCCGACUCCGAAAGGAGGAGGAAAUCCCGAAACCCGGUCGUAGUUCGGAUCGAGGGCUGUAACUCGCCCUCGUGAAGCCGGAAUCCCUAGUAAUCGCGGUCAC
rnacentral:rRNA from 1 species